rnacentral:rRNA from 1 species
UCUUGGUCAUUUAGAGGAAGUAAAAGUCGUAACAAGGUCUCCGUUGGUGAACCAGCGGAGGGAUCAUUACCGAGUUUACAACUCCCAAACCCAAUGUGAACGUUACCAAACUGUUGCCUCGGCGGGAUCUCUGCCCCGGGUGCGUCGCAGCCCCGGACCAAGGCGCCCGCCGGAGGACCAACCUAAAACUCUUAUUGUAUACCCCCUCGCGGGUUUUUUUAUAAUCUGAGCCUUCUCGGCGCCUCUCGUAGGCGUUUCGAAAAUGAAUCAAAACUUUCAACAACGGAUCUCUUGGUUCUGGCAUCGAUGAAGAACGCAGCGAAAUGCGAUAAGUAAUGUGAAUUGCAGAAUUCAGUGAAUCAUCGAAUCUUUGAACGCACAUUGCGCCCGCCAGUAUUCUGGCGGGCAUGCCUGUCCGAGCGUCAUUUCAACCCUCGAACCCCUCCGGGGGGUCGGCGUUGGGGAUCGGCCCUCCCUUAGCGGGUGGCCGUCUCCGAAAUACAGUGGCGGUCUCGCCGCAGCCUCUCCUGCGCAGUAGUUUGCACACUCGCAUCGGGAGCGCGGCGCGUCCACAGCCGUUAAACACCCAACUUCUGAAAUGUUGACCUCGGAUCAGGUAGGAAUACCCGCUGAACUUAAGCAUAUCAAUAAGCGGAGG